ensembl:snRNA U6 U6 spliceosomal RNA
GUGCUCGCUUCAGCAGGACAUUUACUAAAAUUGGAAUGAUACAGAGAAGAUUAGCAUGGCCCCUGGACAAAGAUGACAUGCAAAUUUGUGAAGAAUAUCCAUAUUUU